rnacentral:SRP_RNA from 1 species
GUGCCGCGGCGGUGGAGGUGUGUGAACUGCGUCAGGGCCGGGAGGCAGCAGCGCUAAGCAUUUCCUUCAGGCGCCGCGGUUUUCU